rnacentral:rRNA from 1 species
GACGAACGCUGGCGGCGUGCCUAAUACAUGCAAGUCGAGCGAGCGGAACUAACAGAUUUACUUCGGUAAUGACGUUAGGAAAGCGAGCGGCGGAUGGGUGAGUAACACGUGGGGAACCUGCCCCAUAGUCUGGGAUACCACUUGGAAACGGGUGCUAAUACCGGAUAAGAAAGCAGAUCGCAUGAUCAGCUUUUAAAAGGCGGCGUAAGCUGUCGCUAUGGGAUGGCCCCGCGGUGCAUUAGCUAGUUGGUAAGGUAAAGGCUUACCAAGGCGAUGAUGCAUAGCCGAGUUGAGAGACUGAUCGGCCACAUUGGGACUGAGACACGGCCCAAACUCCUACGGGAGGCAGCAGUAGGGAAUCUUCCACAAUGGACGCAAGUCUGAUGGAGCAACGCCGCGUGAGUGAAGAAGGUUUUCGGAUCGUAAAGCUCUGUUGUUGGUGAAGAAGGAUAGAGGUAGUAACUGGCCUUUAUUUGACGGUAAUCAACCAGAAAGUCACGGCUAACUACGUG